UGCAACGCGAAGAACCUUACCUGGUCUUGACAUCCACAGAACUUUCCAGAGAUGGAUUGGUGCCUUCGGGAACUGUGAGACAGGUGCUGCAUGGCUGUCGUCAGCUCGUGUUGUGAAAUGUUGGGUUAAGUCCCGCAACGAGCGCAACCCUUAUCCUUUGUUGCCAGCGGUCCGGCCGGGAACUCAAAGGAGACUGCCAGUGAUAAACUGGAGGAAGGUGGGGAUGACGUCAAGUCAUCAUGGCCCUUACGACCAGGGCUACACACGUGCUACAAUGGCGCAUACAAAGAGAAGCGACCUCGCGAGAGCAAGCGGACCUCAUAAAGUGCGUCGUAGUCCGGAUUGGAGUCUGCAACUCGACUCCAUGAAGUCGGAAUCGCUAGUAAUCGUGGAUCAGAAUGCCACGGUGAAUACGUUCCCGGGCCUUGUACACACCGCCCG
rnacentral:rRNA from 1 species